GAUGAUCUCUCACACACCCCUUCUCUGGCUGCUGGUUCUCUGGAUUCAGGACUCCUCUGGGCAAACCGUGGUGACUCAAUCCCCGGAAUCUCUGGCAGUGCCAGUGGGAGGGAGAGUCUCUAUCAACUGCAAAGCCAGUACGAGCGUUGGCACUUGCCUAAACUGGUACCAACAAAAACCUGGACAAGCUCCCAAACUUCUUAUCUACUACGCUAGCAGCCUCCAGUCGGGGGUCCCAGCCCGGUUCAGCGGCAGCGGGUCUGGCACUGAUUUCACAUUCACCAUCAGCAGCGUAGAAGCUGAUGAUGCUGGAGAUUAUUACUGUCAGCAGUGUGGCAGCUUCCCUCUCACAGUGAUACAGACCAGUACAAAAACCUCCCUGCUCUCUGCAGCGUGCAAUGCAGUUACCAUUCGUUGCAGAUUGGAGACAUACCUACUGAUUACACUCACACCAUCAGCAGCAUUAAAGCUCAUCAGACUGGAGAAUAUGAUUGUCAAUGGGCCUUUCCCAGUGAUACAGGCCAGUGCAAAAACCUCCUUUUUCUACACAGAGAUGCGGGCUUAG